GGAUGUGAGGGCGAUCUGGCUGCGACAUCUGUCACCCCAUUGAUCGUCAGGGUUAAUUCGGCUGAUCUGGCUGGCUAGGCGGGUGUCCCCUUCCUCCCUCACCGCUCCAUGUGCGUCCCUCCCGAAGCUGCGCGCUCGGUGGAAGAGGACGACCAUCCCAGAUAGAAGGAGUGUACCGUUCUUCGGUCAAGGGUAUACGAUAGCUGCGCUCCCCUGCUAGAACCUCCAAACAAGCUCAAGGUCCAUUUGUAGGAGAACGUAGGGUAGUCAAGCUUCCAAGACUCACAGCCAUAUAGUUAAAAAAGAAACUGCUAU
rnacentral:snRNA from 1 species